rnacentral:rRNA from 1 species
GCGGUGUUUUAGUCUAUUUAGAGGAAUUUGCCCUUUGAUCGAUAAUCCUCGUUUUAUCUUACUUUAUUUUGUUUAUCAAUAUGUAUACCGCCGUUAUAAGUUUAUUUUAUAAGAAAAUUAAUUUACUUUAAUCUUAAUUAUGAUUUAUUUCAGGUCAAGGUGCAGUUUAUGAUAAAGUAGAGGUGAAUUACAAUAUUAUUUUAAUAAAUGGAUGUUUUUUUAAAAAUUUAUUGAAGGUGGAUUUAAUUGUAAUUUUUGUAAUAAUGCUUAUUUGAUUUUAGCUCUAAAAUGAGCACACAUCG